rnacentral:lncRNA from 1 species
UCCAGAUUACUCAUGGCCGCUCCUUCUCACUCCGCCGCUAGUGCCGCCAUUGCGGAAGCCCUCUUUGCCACUCCGGAUGGCAAAAACCCGCUGUCUGUCAUCAGCGCCGACGGGAUCCGGGACGCUCUCGCGAGGAUGGGCCAGCCUGAUCUGGACUUCACUGAGGCCGGAGAUCGCCUCGCCUCUCAGCCGCCGCCGGGCAUAGUCGCCCU